AGCGAACGCUGGCGGCAGGCUUAACACAUGCAAGUCGAGCGGGCCCUUCGGGGUCAGCGGCGGACGGGUGAGUAACGCGUGGGAACGUGCCUUCUGGUUCGGAAUAACUCAGGGAAACUUGAGCUAAUACCGGAUACGCCCUUUUGGGGAAAGGUUUACUGCCGGAAGAUCGGCCCGCGUCUGAUUAGCUAGUUGGUGGGGUAACGGCCUACCAAGGCGACGAUCAGUAGCUGGUCUGAGAGGAUGAUCAGCCACACUGGGACUGAGACACGGCCCAGACCCCUAGGGGGGGCGGCAGUGGGGAAUAUUGGACAAGGGGCGCAAGCCUGACCCACCCAUGCCGGGUGAGUGAUGAAGGCCUUGGGGUUGUAAAGCUCUUUUAUCCGGGACGAUAAUGACGGUACCGGAGGAAUAAGCCCCGGCUAACUUCGU
rnacentral:rRNA from 1 species